CUCUCUCUCUCUCUCUCUCUCUCUCUCUCUCCAAUCAUCUCUCCCUUUCUUCUUUGUCCUCCCUCUUUCUUCCUCUAUAAGCUUUACUGAGGGAUUGGAGUGAGAUUCUUGGGGUCUGAUUCAGAAUCGAAGUCUAGGGUUCCAAUUACGACUUCUGCCACAUGCGGAAAUUGAGGUGAAUUUGGUGAUUACAGACUAUUGUAUUCCUGGAAUGACUGGAUAUGAUCUGCUAAAGAAAAUUGAGGAAUCACAAUCUCUCAAGGAUAUGCCAGUUGUGAUCAUAUCAUCUCAGAAUGUGCCUUCAAGGAUCAACAGAUUGUUUAGGUCUCAAUUUUCCAUACAUGAUUGGUGAAGAUGAGGCAGAAGCAUCACCUGAAGACGAUAUCUCAUCUAGGUGAUAGAGAAGAUCAUUAAGAAGAUCUCGAAGAAGGUUUUGGUUUUUAGGCUUCAUGGUUUUCUCAUCAAUCUAGCCGCAUCCUUCUCAAAUCAGGUUUAUGUUGUUUUCCAAGUAGAAGUUGAAAUUAGAAUAAAUCGAAUAUUUAGAUACCCAUGGUUUCUUAUUACUCUUGCAAUAAUAAUAUCAUAACAACUUUUAUUUAAACUAGGCAAUACGUCACAAUAGACAUGGGUGCCUAUUAGAAUAAUGGAAUAAUUUAUAGCAACUUCAUGUACGUGUCAUAUGAGAAAUUUGUUUAUACAUAAAGUUUAAUAUGCUUUAUAAUUUUAAUUGUGUAAUAAUAAUAUGUAAUUAAAAUUAAGAGGAGGGGUGUUCCAAGUGCAAUGGUAUAAAAGAGGAGAGGGCCGUGCUUGGCACGGGGUACAUACUA